CUCCAGCUGACGAGUCCCAUAUAGGACGAAACGCGCGUCCUGGAU
rfam:Schistosoma haematobium scaffold1626_2, whole genome shotgun sequence.